GCUGGGUGUGGUGGCUCACACCUGUAAUCCUAGCACUCUGGGAGGCCGAGGCGGGAGGAUUGCCUGAGGUCAGGAGUUCCAGACCAGCCUGGCCAACAUGGUAAAACCCUGUCUCUA
rnacentral:SRP_RNA from 1 species